ACAUACAUAGCUCAUUUGGUAGAGCAAAUCGUUUGUCACGAUUUGGUAACGGGUUCGAUUCCUGUUGUAUAUUCC
rnacentral:tRNA from 1 species